GAUGAACGCUGGCGGCGUGCUUAACACAUGCAAGUCGAACGGUGAAGCAGGAGCUUGCUCCUGUGGAUCAGUGGCGAACGGGUGAGUAACACGUGAGCAAUCUGCCCUGGACUCUGGGAUAAGCGUUGGAAACGACGUCUAAUACCGGAUACGAGGCGUGGGGGCAUCCCCAACGCCUGGAAAGAACUUCGGUCCAGGAUGAGCUCGCGGCCUAUCAGGUAGUUGGGGAGGUAACGGCUCACCAAGCCUACGACGGGUAGCCGGCCUGAGAGGGUGACCGGCCACACUGGGACUGAGACACGGCCCAGACUCCUACGGGAGGCAGCAGUGGGGAAUAUUGCACAAUGGGCGCAAGCCUGAUGCAGCAACGCCGCGUGAGGGACGACGGCCUUCGGGUUGUAAACCUCUUUUAGCAGGGAAGAAGCGAAAGUGACGGUACCUGCAGAAAAAGCACCGGCUAACUACGUGCCAGCCGCCGCAGUAACAC
rnacentral:rRNA from 1 species